rnacentral:rRNA from 1 species
GGGUCAUUAGGUUGGUCGUGCCACCGGUACGUACUGGUCUCAAUGAUUCCUCCUUCCUGAAGAACCGUAAUGCCGUUAAUUUGGUGUUGCGGGGAAACAGGACUGUUACUUUGAAAAAAUUAGAGUGUUUAAAGCAAGCUAACGCUUGAAUACAUUAGCAUGGAAUAAUGAAAUAGGACGAUCGAUCCUAUUUUGUUGGUUUCUAGGAUUGACGUA